rnacentral:rRNA from 1 species
UACGUAGGGUGCGAGCGUUGUCCGGAAUUAUUGGGCGUAAAGGGCUCGUAGGCGGUUUGUCGCGUCGGGAGUGAAAACCCAGGGCUUAACUCUGGGCUUGCUUUCGAUACGGGCAGACUAGAGGUAUGCAGGGGAGAACGGAAUUCCUGGUGUAGCGGUGAAAUGCGCAGAUAUCAGGAGGAACACCGAUGGCGAAGGCAGGUCUCUGGGCCGAUACUGACGCUGAGGAGCGAAAGCGUGGGGAGCGAACAGG